GGACCUUAGUUCAGUGACCACAAGCUUGGCCUCUAGACAUGCUGUCCAGACUCAGAGUUCUGUUUGGCAGAGGGAAUGAACAGCAUGGGGAGACCAGAGUGAGGCACAAGGAAGCUGCUCCUAGGUCUCCCAGGAAAACAUGGAAAAAAUGGUCCUGGGGAAGAGGCAGGACUACUGGGAAGUCACCAACCCAAACAUCCACCUCCACUGAGCAGGAGCAGCAGAUGACAAAGUUAGAGAAACUCACCCUUCACCUACAGAGUAUAACAUAGGAGCAAAUUGAACUGCAUGGGAUCCUGGCCAGUUAUACAGACAAGGAUUUGCAGAACAGGGGCCAUGCCCUACAACAGGCUGAAUUCUUUUGAGAUGCUGAAAAAGGAGCAUAAGCAGGUGAUGUUGGACUUGCAGAAAUUGCCCAUGAAGAUCAGUGAUGGUGUGAACAAGGUCAAACAGCUGAUUGAGGAGAAUGUAUCCUACAGCUAUGUGCCUGAUUUAUCUUGGGAGGCACUGAUUCUGCCAUCUUUCUCUUUCACCCCAAGUGAGGGCUUUGGUUCUUGCCUGUCUGCCUCUUAGCAAGCAGUCUGUCAUGUGGUCCUUGGCCUUGUGCCUCUUGGACUCAGUUUUGCUAAGUGUGAAAAGACACUGAGCCCCUCCAAGCAAUGUCCUGCCAUCCGCAGGAGACCCUUGAUAGAAAAAUGUUUUGUACCAUGAAGAGAUUGUCAGGUAUCCUAGUACCUCUGGGGCUCUGACCAGGGCUUCACAGAGCUGGUUUCCAUGGUAGCCAUAGAGAGAACUGAUUCUG